rnacentral:miRNA from 1 species
UUGUGUGCACUUUUGGUC